rnacentral:rRNA from 1 species
UAUCUCUGUAGAGUCUGCAUAUCAAUAAGCGGAGGAAAAGAAACUAACAAGGAUUCCCUUAGUAACGGCGAGUGAAGCGGGAAGAGCUCAAAUUUGAAAUCUUCAAGGUUCUACCUUGACGAAUUGUAGUUUAAAGAAGUGUUUUCUGUUAGAUGAGUAGCAAAAGUUCCUUGGAAUGGGACAUCAUAGAGGGUGAGAAUCCCGUAUUUGGUUAUUCAUUCUAGCUUUGUGAUACACUUUCAAAGAGUCGGAUUGUUUGGGAAUGCAGUCCAAAAUGGGUGGUAAAUUUCAUCUAAAGCUAAAUAUUGGCGAGAGACCGAUAGCGAACAAGUACCGUGAGGGAAAGAUGAAAAGAACUUUGAAAAGAGAGUUAAACAGUACAUGAAAUUGUCAAAAGGGAAGCGUUUGACACCAGUGUUGUUUUUCCGAAGAUCAAUUACGAAUGGCUUGAUUCUGUGUUGUAUUGACCUUAUCAGCUUUCUUCACUUUUUUCGAGUCUUUCUUAAUGCACUUUUCGGUUAACAAGUCAACAUCAAUUUCUUUUGUUGUAAAAGAGUAUUCGGAAGGUGGCUUUCUUUUCGGAGAAAGUGUUUAUAGCCCUAUACUUCUACAAUCGGAGAGAUUGAGGUCUGCAGCGUAGAUCCUUCGGGGUUAGAUACAUUUGUGCUAAGUUAGUAGCCUUUCAUAGACAACUUGUUGACUAUGAUCAGUCAUGUAGGCUUACUCGCUUAUGCUAUUUUACCUACGCUUAGGAUGUUGAAGAUGUAGCACAUCA